GAUUAAGAACGUAGCGAAAUGUGAUAAGUAAUGUGAAUUGCAGAAUCUCGUGAAUCAUCGAAUCUUUGAACGCACAUUGCGCCCAAUGGUAUUCCAUUGGGCAUACCUGUUUGAGUAUCAGAAUCCUUUCAAUUAUCAAACUUUUAUAUAUAGAGAUGUAUGUAAAGAUGUUUGGAAUAAAGUUGAGAAAAGUAGUAUUGUUUAUAAUAUUACUUUCUUAAAAACCAGAAAUAUUAUGUUUUGAUUUUUCUUCACCUCAUUUUGUAUGAAAUUUUAACAAAUGAGUAUGAGUAAAAAUAACAAUACUUUGGAUGACCUCAAAUCAGGUAGGGAUACCCGCUGAACUUAAGCAUAUCAAUAAGCGGAGGA
rnacentral:misc_RNA from 1 species